UACAGGGGGUGCAAACGUUGCUCGGAAUCAUUGGGCGUAAAGCGCACGUAGGCGGCGCGGUAAGUCGGGUGUGAAAUCUCGGAGCUUAACUCCGAAACUGCAUUCGAUACUGCCGUGCUUGAGGACUGGAGAGGAGACUGGAAUUUACGGUGUAGCGGUGAAAUGCGUAGAUAUCGUAAGGAAGACCAGUGGCGAAGGCGGGUCUCUGGACAGUUCCUGACGCUGAGGCACGAAGGUCAGGGGAGCAAACGGG
rnacentral:rRNA from 1 species